GCAAGUCGAGCGAACAGAUGAAGUGCUUGCACUUCUGACGUUAGCGGCGAACGGGUGAGUAACACGUAAGGAAUCUACCUAUAAGCGGGGGAUAACAUUCGGAAACGGGUGCUAAUACCGCAUAAUAUCUUCUUCCGCAUGGAAGAAGAUUGAAAGACGGCUCUGCUGUCACUUAUAGAUGACCUUGCGGUGCAUUAGUUAGUUGGUGGGGUAACGGCCUACCAAGACGAUGAUGCAUAGCCGACCUGAGAGGGUGAUCGGCCACAUUGGGACUGAGACACGGCCCAAACUCCUACGGGAGGCAGCAGUAGGGAAUCUUCCGCAAUGGGCGAAAGCCUGACGGAGCAAUGCCGCGUGAGUGAAGAAGGCCUUCGGGUCGUAAAACUCUGUUAUAAGAGAAGAACAAAUUGUAGAGUAACUGCUACAGUCUUGACGGUAUCUUAUCAGAAAGCCACGGCUAACUACGUGCCAGCAGCCGCGGUAAUACGUAGGUGGCAAGCGUUGUCCGGAUUUAUUGGGCGUAAAGGGAGCGCAGGUGGUUUCUUAAGUCUGAUGUGAAAGCCCACGGCUUAACCGUGGAGGGUCAUUGGAAACUGGGAAACUUGAGUACAGAAGAGGAAUGUGGAACUCCAUGUGUAGCGGUGGAAUGCGUAGAUAUAUGGAAGAACACCAGUGGCGAAGGCGACAUUCUGGUCUGUUACUGACACUGAGGCUCGAAAGCGUGGGGAGCAAACAGGAUUAGAUACCCUGGUAGUCCACGCCGUAAACGAUGAGUGCUAGGUGUUGGAGGGUUUCCGCCCUUCAGUGCCGCAGUUAACGCAUUAAGCACUCCGCCUGGGGAGUACGACCGCAAGGUUGAAACUCAAAGGAAUUGACGGGGACCCGCACAAGCGGUGGAGCAUGUGGUUUAAUUCGAAGCAACGCGAAGAACCUUACCAAGUCUUGACAUCCUUUGACCACCCUAGAGAUAGGGCUUUCCCUUCGGGGACAAAGUGACAGGUGGUGCAUGGUUGUCGUCAGCUCGUGUCGUGAGAUGUUGGGUUAAGUCCCGCAACGAGCGCAACCCC
rnacentral:rRNA from 1 species